rnacentral:tRNA from 1 species
CGGAAUUGGUAGACGCUACGGACUUAAAAUCCGUUGGCUUUAUUGACCGUGAGGGUUCAAGUCCCUCUACCCCCA